rnacentral:rRNA from 1 species
CCUACGGGAGGCAGCAGUGGGGGAUAUUGGACAAUGGGGGGAACCCUGAUCCAGCGACGCCGCGUGAGUGAAGGAGUAUUUCGGUAUGUAAAGCUCUGUCAGCCGGGAAGAAAGCAAUGACGGUACCUGACCAAGAAGCCCCGGCUAACUACGUGCCAGCAGCCGCGGUACUACGGAGGGGGCAAGCGUUAUCCGGAAUUACUGGGGGUAAAGGGGGCGUAGAGGGCUGUGCAAGUCGGGGUUGAAAGCCGGGGGCUCAACCUCGGGACUGCACUGGAAACUGGAUGGCUGGAGUGCAGGAGAGGAAAGUGGAAUUCCUAGUGUAGCGGUGAAAUGCGUAGAUAUUAGGAGGAACACCAGUGGCGAAGGCGGCUUACUGGACUGUAACUGACGUUGAGGCGCGAAAGCGUGGGGAGCAAACAGGAUUAGAUACCCGAGUAGUC